rnacentral:ncRNA from 2 species
AUAAUAGAUAGAGGCGCGGAAAGCUAAGAGUAGAUUUAUUGAGACUGUCAGUCUGUGAUAUAAAUCAAAAGGAGUAUCCGCCGAAGCUGUGAGAAACUGACAGGUUUCACAGCUGGGCUUGUGGAAAAUAUCCAUAAGACUGUCAUUUCCGUUUAUCGGUAAUGUUGAGCUAUCAGGUAU